GCGUAUGCAACCUACCUUUUACUAGAGUAUAGCCCAGAGAAAUUUGGAUUAAUCCUCUAUAACAUCUUUUAAUUUCAUGAUUUUAAGAUUAAAGUUUUAACGGUAAAGAUGGGCAUGCGUCCUAUUAGUUUGUAGGUGAGGUAACGGCUCACCUAGACUACGAUAGGUAGGGGCCCUGAGAGGGGGAUCCCCCACACUGGUACUGAGACACGGACCAGACUCCUACGGGAGGCAGCAGUAAGGAAUAUUGGACAAUGGACGAAAGUCUGAUCCAGCCAUGCCGCGUGCAGGAUGACAGCC
rnacentral:rRNA from 1 species